GACGAACGCUGGCGGCGUGCUUAACACAUGCAAGUCGAACGGAAAUUCCAUGCGUUUGUUGGUUGCUCGAUUGGCGAACGGGGGAGUAACACGUGAGUAACCUGCGCUUGACUUUGGGAGAACUUCAGGGAACUGGGGCGAAUACAGGGUAUCAGCUCCUGCUGCAUGGUGGGGGUUGGAAAGUGUCGGCGGUUGGGGAAGGACGCGCGGCGUAUCAGCUUGUUGGGGGGGUAGGGGCUUACCAAGGCUUUGACGGGUAGCCGGCCUGAGAGGGUGACCGGCCACAUUGGGACUGGGAUAGGGCCAAUACUCCUACGGGCGGAAGCAGCGGGGAAUAUUGCACACUGGGCGGCAGCCGGAUGCAGCACCUCCGCGUGCUGGAUGACGGCCUUCGGGUUGUAACCCGCUUUCGCCUGUCACGAAGCGUCAGUGACGGUAAUGGGUAAAGAAGCAACGGCUAACUACGUG
rnacentral:rRNA from 1 species